UACGGAGGGUGCAAGCGUUAUCCGGAUUCACUGGGUUUAAAGGGUGCGUAGGCGGGCAGGUAAGUCAGUGGUGAAAUCUCCGGGCUUAACCCGGAAACUGCCGUUGAUACUAUCUGUCUUGAAUAUCGUGGAGGUAAGCGGAAUAUGUCAUGUAGCGGUGAAAUGCUUAGAUAUGACAUAGGACACCCAUUGCGAAGGCAGCUUACUACACGAUCAUUGACGCUGAGGCACGAAAGCGUGGGGAGCAAACAGG
rnacentral:rRNA from 1 species